rnacentral:lncRNA from 1 species
UGUAUAUGGAAAAUUACCCUCUCUCCCUCUCAUUCUCAUCCCCUCAUCUCUUUCCCUCUCUUACACUCUCUUGCUCUCUCUCUCUAGAAAGAAAAAGAAGAAGAGAAGGAGGAGAAGAAGAAAAAGGAAAAGAAGAAGGAGAAGAAGGUGGAGAAGAAGAAGGAGAUCAAGGAGAAGGCUUUGAGCAUCUUCCUCUCUUUCUCUCCUCUCUAUUGGAGUAGCUCAAGCGGU